rnacentral:rRNA from 1 species
AGUGAACGCUGGCGGUAGGCCUAACACAUGCAAGUCGAACGGCAGCACAGUAAGAUCUUGCUCUUACGGGUGGCGAGUGGCGGGCGGGUGACGAAUACAUCGGACUCUACUUUUUCGUGGGGGAUAACGUAGGGAAACUUACGCUAAUACCGCAUACGACGUACGGGUGAAAGCAGGGGAUCUUCGCACCUUGCGCGAUUGAAUGAGCCGAUGUCGGAUUAGCUAGUUGGCGGGUUAAAGGCCCACCAAGGGGACGAUCCGUAGCUGGUCGGAGAGGAGGGUCGGCGACACUGGAAGUGAGCCAGGCACCAUACUCCUGAGGGAGGGAGCAGACGGGUAUAUUGGACAACGGUCGCAAGCCUUAUCCAGCCAGACCGCGUGGGUGAAGAAGGCCUUCGGUUUGUAAAGCCCUUUUGUUGGGAAUGAAAAGCAGUCGGUUAAUACCCCGCUGUUCUGACGGUACCCAAAGAAUAAGCACCGGCUAACUUCGUG